GUGACACGGUCCACUAUUUGAGCUGAGUCGUGAGCUGAUCACUUUAGCUCAGUGACCACAGGGAUUUAAGUCUCAAUGCAAUUUUGUCUUGAACAUCUCUUUGUGGACCGUCAACUGGCCAUUUUAGCCCUCGAAAGUUGCGAUCCUGUGCAAAAGCUAGACGGAAUAAUGCCGUCCAAUAGCGAGGCUUGGAAUAUAUCAGUAUUCAUUUUUACCAGCAUUUUAAAUGUUGUGGAUUGUGUAAACUCUGAAAUAUUAACUUGUGCGUCUUUUGUUUCAGAGCAACCUGGCCUUGACGUGUCCCAAUACUCUGGUGGCAUCUUUAGCGGGGGCAUAGGCUCCCGGCGGCCACUGACCGGCGCCGAGCGCGCCCGUCGCUACCGCGAGCGCAAGAAGCUCAAGAAGCUGUACGAGGCACUGCUGGGUGGCUCGCCGCGGCGCGAGCAGCUGACCGUGCAGCUGUGACGCGCUACGGUCCACGGCCGACUCCCCGCCACCGACGCUGGCGGCACCGGCUGGUGGUGACGCCACGGGCUGAUGGUGACGUCACAGGCCGGCGGUGACGUCACGGUCCGGUGGUGACGCCGCGGGCUGAUGGUGAUGUCACAUGCUGGUGGUGACGUCAUGGGCUAGUGGUGACUUCGCUGGCGAUCGGUGACAUCACCAGGUGAUGUCAUGUGUAGCCUCUGAUGGCGCCGGUGUCGGAUAGGACGAUGCUGCCGUCCGCUGAUGGCGUUAUCGCCCGUUGGUGCGUCAUCGACUCGCAGUGACGUCACCGACCCACGGUGACGUCCGACACCGGUGCUGACGGUACCAGCAGCUGUCGGUGGGUGUCUGGACGGAGGCAGCUACGGACGCGCCCCGGGGGUGGGUUGUGCCAUAAUACCGUGACCACGGCGGCCGGCCGGCCCAGUACAAAGUCGGCGCACGCGCGGCGCAUGGCGCUGGCGCCGAGCUGACGGCGGCGCCCGUGCAGUCUGGUCAGGAGAGAAAUCAAAAUGGCGCCGUGGCGACCGAUUUAUUUCUACGUCUUUUGAGGUUUUUGUUGCGUGGGCGUGUGAAGAAACGGCCGUAGGAUAGUUGUGGUUGGAUGGUAGUCUGAGACUUUAGGCUGGUAAGGAAGUGGGCGGCCGGUGUCACGGCAGUCUAUCGUCAGUUCCCUUCAGCGACGCCUGGUCGGCCGGAUCAGCCAUUCCACUACGAAAUGACGUGCGUUAUGCUCGCCUGCCACAAAGCUCCGAUCAAAGAUGAAGCGGGCGUAUCGGGGGUGUAUUAAUGAGUGGCCGGCUCUUGACUCAACGAAGAUAAAUGCCUCAUAGUUACGAUAUUUUUCAAGGCUGCAAUGGUUGUGUUUAUUUGUGUCCGGCAGAACUGCGCCCAUGAGAUUUUCUGCUUGGUAGAUCUGCUUGCCGGUUGUGGAAUGUAGAUACGCUCAAGCGGCGGGUAGCCAUGCAGUGCUCCAGGAGGACUGCAGUUACUAAUCAAGGUUGUAGCCAUUGGAGUGUCGUGACUCUGUCGAUGGAUGUUAGGGCCCAGGGCGGCGCGGCCUGGUGUCUGCGCGGUCCGCGGCCUGGUGUCUGCGCUGUCCGCGAUCCCUGUGCUGUCGCGUGCGGCUGGGGUGCCGCGCUCUCGUGCCCAGCAAGCUCAUCGGUGCGGUCGGGCCCCCGCUCCGACGCCAGGGCGUUCAUGUAUGUGCCAAAGUCUGACACCCGGUCCGCUGCGCGCCGGCGGCCGGGCUCGUCCCAGCUGUCGUCGGCCCCGGGUCGGCGCGUCCCGGUGAACCGGCCGCUGGCGGCACAGGCCAUCCCGGCACACGGCUCCCGCGUGGAGGCCGCCCAGCGGGGACGCGCGCCUGCUGUUGACAGGUUGUGGACGUGAGAGGCGGGCGGAGCAGCGGCCAGCGCUCAACCGCCGAUGCUUGGACUAACUUUCAGCCGUCUUGGAUUUCGUUACUGCAGCCUCGAAGGCCUAGGGUUGGAUGCGACUCUUUUGAAGCACCUACCAUCCGGUGCGUAAAAAUACCUCCGUGGAACAAACGUGGUUGUUCUGUUACUCAGUCGGAUGAUUUGUGUUGUGUCUUGCCGUUUCUAUGUUUCUGAAACGCUCCCGGUUGUCCGUGCGGUACUUCCUUACCACCAUGCUUGCUUCAUGUCUUUUGUACAACAGGCUGGAACGCAUCAGCACAGGGAGCGAGGUCGUGUCGGUCGAGUGCUUUUUGUUCUUGAUGUGCGUAAUAAAUCAGUGUCACACUAACGUA